UUUAGUCUCUUCUCUUCAAAACAUGCAAAUACCUAACUUCUGCCACCUGUUACCACAUUUUCAUGACAGAUUAUCCAUGCACAAUUGGUGGGACUAUUUGCGGAAUAUACUGAUGUAAUGGAUUACGAGAGAACUGAAACUGUUUAAAGUGAUUCAUUACCUUUCUCAGUGAUGGAAGUAUGAUGGAAGCAGAGAUACUCCUUUGAGUGCUGCUUCAGCAGGAAGAAACUGAUAGCAUCUAUGCUUGCAAAUUAAACUUAAGGUAAAAGUAACAACUGAGCUAAGAAGCUUGAGAAGGCUUAGUGUAAGACUUCAUUACAUUUUAUAUAUAAAUACUCCUGUUAGUAAAGCAGGUUUUAAAAAAAAAGAAAAAAAGGAUGUGUAUGGGUUGUCUCAGGUUGUCUUUGAGUGACAUACUGUUCCAAUGACCAUGUUCAAUUUUCUGUGAAUUGUUUUUCAUUUGUGCUGCUUUGUAGUGUGAGGCUAAUAUCCUACAAGCAGUUCUUGAAAAAAGCUGGUUCCCUAGUAAAGACAGAGUUUCCCAUUUGUGUAGCAGGUGACCGAAGGGCUGGCCAUGAAUAAAUAAACUCAUCCUCACUCUGAAGUGGGCA
rnacentral:lncRNA from 1 species